GUACACUCCUGCGGGAGGCAGCAGUAGGGAAUCUUCCACAAUGGGUGCAAACCUGAUGGAGCAAUGCCGCGUGAGUGAAGAAGGUCUUCGGAUCGUAAAGCUCUGUUGUUAGAGAAGAACACGUGCUAGGUAACUACUAGCGCCUUGACGGUAUCUAACCAGAAAGUCACGGCUAACUACGUGCCAGCAGCCGCGGUAAUACGUAGGUGACAAGCGUUGUCCGGAUUUAUUGGGCGUAAAGGGAGCGCAGGCGGUCUGUUUAGUCUAAUGUGAAAGCCCACGGCUUAACCGUGGAACGGCAUUGGAAACUGACAGACUUGAAUGUAGAAGAGGAAAAUGGAAUUCCAAGUGUAGCGGUGGAAUGCGUAGAUAUUUGGAGGAACACCAGUGGCGAAGGCGAUUUUCUGGUCUAACAUUGACGCUGAGGCUCGAAAGCGUGGGGAGCGAACAGGAUUAGAAACCCUGGUAGUCCCAUG
rnacentral:rRNA from 1 species